rnacentral:tRNA from 1 species
AGCUUUAAGUUAAAUUUAAACUAUUAGCCUUCAAAGUUAAAAUUACAAAAAUCUUUGUAAGCUUUA